rnacentral:lncRNA from 1 species
AUGGCUUCCAUCUUUAGUGCGAUAUCUCUCUCCAGUUUGCUCAUCAGUUCUACUGAAACUACAUCCGAAUGGCCGUUAUCACCGAAAUCAUCAGAAAAUUCAUCAUCCCAAACAAAUGCGUUGCAGUCAUCUCCUUUACCCCAGAAUUUACACUUCCAGUAUUUUCUCCCGGGAUUUGCAACCGAUUUUGAAACAAAUAACUUCAUGGAGACAUUGUGGCCGCAUUUGGGAGUUACUCUACCAUUUGAAGAUAAGCUUGAAGUAGAACAAUUUGGUUGA